rnacentral:misc_RNA from 1 species
AACCAUAGAAACCUGCGGAGUACCUGCGGAGGGAUCAUUAUAGUAUAUGGAAUCUCCAUUCUAUAAACCCACUUUGCGUAUCUUGUAACUGUUGCUUCCAUGGGACUUGGUUCCGCCACACCGGCUUCACGGCUGGUGAGCGCCCAUGGAAGGAGAAACAAAACUCUUCUUUGAAAUGUAGUCAGUCUGAACAAGUUUUUAUAAACGUUAAAACUUUUAGCAACGGAUCUCAGAUCGGAA